AUGGGCAUCCAGGUCGCGCCCCCCUCCCCAUCCUCUCUGGGCGGCGGCUGCGUGAGGCUGUCGAGGGCCCAGUCGUCGUCGUCGCUGGCGACCUGGAGCGCCGGCAUCGCCCGCCGGCGCUCCGGGCACGCGAUGGUGACGCGCGCCCUCAGCGCCAGCAUCGACAGCGUCGGCAGCCACGGCGGGGAUGACGAGGAGUUCCUCAGGAGGAUCCAGGAGCUCGCCGUGGGGCUGCACCCGGGCGCCGGCGGCUGCGGCUGGCCGGCGAGCGUGGAGCGGAGCGCCAGCAGCGUCGGCCUGCCGCUGUCGCUCAGGAUGCUCAAGCGCAAGAAGCGGCAGCAGGGGCAGCGCGGCCGGUGGGACGAGCGGCUGCUCGACCGCGCCGGCGAGUCCGGCUCCGGCCGCGGCGCUGUGGGACGGGCGUUCUCGUCCAUGGUGCUCAUCAUCCGGGAGCUCCAGAGCUUCGCGCUGCAGAUGCGGCAGGCGCUCUUCUACGAGGACAUGCAGAGCGUGCUCGCGCGCGUCCACGCCGAGAUGGACGCCUCCUUCGUCUGGCUCUUCCAGCACAUCUUCGCCGGCACCCCCGCCCUCAUGGUCUCCGUCAUGAUCCUCCUCGCCAACUUCACCGUCUACUCCAUGGGUGACAAUAUCGCGAUGGCCGCCAACCUCCCGCCUCCCCAGCCCACCGUUGCGGCCGUCGCAAUGCUCGACGCCCAGCACGCGGAGCAGUCCCGUCCCGAUCAGCGGUUCGACAGCGUGUCGCUCAACAUGUUCUCCAUUGGCCGCACGGCCUCGGUGGACGGGAGCAGCGGCGGCGGUGGCAAGGCUCCGCCGGUCGCCGGGGCCACCGGCGACGAUCGCUCGGACGAAUCCUCGUACCGGCAAAGCGGCGCGGUGCUUCCUCAGGACGAGUCACAGGCGACGCCGGUGGGGGCGGCCGCGGAGGACACGGAGGACGAGCUGGUCAUCUGGAAAAGGAUAGCCGACGAGGCGACGAGAAUGCAGGCGAGCGUGCGCGUGGAGGCUCUGAUGGACCCGGACAUCCUGGGGCAGCUCGUCGCGCCGGUGGAGGCGAAGCUGGACACGGAGGACGUGGCCGAUUACGCGAGGACGGAGCAGAGAUACGCGAUGGCCGUGUCCGAGGAGCCCAGCAACGCGCUGCUGCUCGCCAACUUCGCGCAGUUCCUGUACCUGGUGCAGCGCGAUCACGACCGGGCGGAGCACUACUUCAAGCGGGCGGUGCGCGCGGAGCAGCCGGCGGACGCGGAGACGCUGGGGUGGUACGCGACGUUCCUGUGGAAGGCGCGCAACGACCUGGCGGCCGCGGAGGAGACGUUCCAGGAGGCCAUCGCCGCCGAGCCCAGCAACGGGCACCACGCGGCGGCCUACGCGCACUUCCUGUGGAACACGGGCGGCGAGGACACAUGCUACCCCCUCGACUGA
rnacentral:rRNA from 1 species